UUGCAUCGGAAGUGAAUGGCAUCGUUAUCCUUCUUCAUUUUUUAUGCCUUCGUACAUUAAGGAAGUUCAAUGGAUAAAUGAAGGAUUUAGGGGUCUUCUCCCAUAUCCUUUUAAUUCAAGUUUGGGAGGCAUGACAACUACCCCACCUUAUUUCAAUGACAAGAACAAGGGUUCUCAUGGCCAAUAUGUGUCUAUUAAUGGGAUUUUCAAUGUCUUGCUUACCACGCUAAUCCUACUUCUGAUUGGAUUUGCAGCUUCAAGAUAUCAAACUCUACACCUUCUAUAUGGAGCUAGAUUUGCAAAAGUCAUAUCCAACUCGAGGAAGUGACUUAUUGACAUGGGAGAGAACUUAUUGGUAACCAAGGACUUUGUGAAGAUAGCAAAUUUUGACCUUGCUCGUGAAGUUCAUUCGAAGCCACCAUUCACAGAAUAGGUUUCAACACGCUGUUUACAAAUCUCAAGUACUC